UACAGAGGUCUCAAGCGUUGUUCGGAUUCAUUGGGCGUAAAGGGUGCGUAGGCGGCGCGGUAAGUCGGGUGUGAAAUCUUGGAGCUUAACUCCGGAACUGCAUUCGAUACUGCCGUGCUUGAGGACUGGAGAGGAGACUGGAAUUUACGGUGUAGCGGUGAAAUGCGUAGAUAUCGUAAGGAAGACCAGUGGCGAAGGCGGGUCUCUGGACAGUUCCUGACGCUGAGGAGCGAAAGCGUGGGGAGCGAACAGG
rnacentral:rRNA from 1 species